GACGACAGCGACGAUAGCUACUACUACUACAAUGAGGAGACAACGACAAGACUAACAGAAAAGAAAGGCAAUCUUCAGAGAUAAGUACCAUCGCGCUUUUAGGUUAAUUGUCUAAAUAGUUUAUUAAAAAGAAGCACAGCAGAGCCGCUUUAGGCAGCCCUCUUUUGAGAACCAAUGAUAGAAAAUCAACUUGAAUAAGCAUAAGGGGAAAAGAAAGUCCCAAUGAAUCAAGUUCCCUUGGGCUUAAAUAGACUCAAGGUAAAGCUGUUAUUAAGAUCUUCUAGGAAAUUAUGGGCCAGUGUCAUGUAAGAAGUGUCAUCUUUUUUCUCUAAUAGAGAGCUCCAAGAUGAAAUUCAGAUUCUCUGAGAGUGGACAAGAUGAUCUCCUGGGGCACAAAAAAGAACUUCUAGAGUUUCUAUUUAUACCUACAU